UAUCACCAGUGGGUACUUCCGUUCAUCAGUUCACCGUCACCGACCAGGAUGACGCCAUUUCCUGUUCCAUCAACCGGAGAGCGCAAAGUUUGGCAUCACUAAGGUGGACACCGCUACCGGAGCUCAACGGUUCGACGUCAAGACGAUUGCCUCGCUUGAUUACGACUCUGCUACGAGUUACACGAUCACCGUCACGUGCACUGACGCUAUCAACACUGUGACGUCAUCAAGGACUAUCAAUAUAGCCGAUGACAAACCUGUUUUUACCGGACUUCCCGCUACGCUGUCGCCGGCACGUGCCGACGGAUUGCAGACAGCGACGUCACUUCGCACGUUCGGCCUAACGGACGUCAACGACCAGAGUGUCAUCUCUUGCUCCAUACAGGCGCCGAUGAACAGCUUUUUCAACGUGGUUACCGGCACGGCGCCGACAUUUGCCGUCUGGGUCAUAGCCGGCGCGACGUUGGACGCGGCGACGUCGCCUCUCCUCGUAAACGUUCAGUGCGUUGAUGACAGAUCGCCGGCGAACAUCAUAACCGAAACGUUCACGGUUCCCUUAUUU